UAAAUUUAGUAGAUAAAUUUGCGCCUAUGGUUGUGGCUUCUCCGUGAGCGUUUGGUGUCGUCCGCGGUGCAAUUUGCGAGUGUGUGAGACAACCAACUUUUCCUGAGUACUGAAGCAUACCAGCACCCUGUAGCUAUAGGAGAUGAAGGAGAUCACUAAAACAUCAAAAUACUUUUUUCUCCAUGAAUAAUGUGUGACUCGAACAAACUGCCACCAGUUCAUAAUGAUAUCUGUCAAUCCUGAACUGGCACACACCUGCAUGAUUCAAUGUCAUACAUUUAUUCAUGAUGCUAGUACAUGUAAUAUGUUUCUAUUGAUUGUUGCUUACCUUUACUGUGUAUUCAUUAGCCUUCUGCCUAAUGUGUUUAUUAAACCAAGCAUGUCUUUUUUUC